rnacentral:tRNA from 1 species
AAAAAGUUAGUUUAUUAAAACAUUAAUUUGUCAAGUUAAAAAUAUCAAUAGAUACUUUUUA